CAAUAAAUAAAACAUGAAAUAAAAGCAAAAUAAACAAAAGUAAUAAUAACGUUAUACUAGAAAUUGCGUACGAAUUCUCAACUAACAAAACAAAAGCAAAGUAAAUAAAAAAAAAAUUAAAAAGGUCUGACAAAAGCUCAAAACUAAUUUAUGAAAAUAAACUACUAAACUAAUCUAAUACUACCGAACCUCCAAACUAAAAACUAAGAAAAUUUGCCUCCUCCCUUACGUGACUACCAAAUCCUUUUUAUAAGGAACGAAAAGGAAUUUGUUUUUCAGUCAACUUCGGGGGUUGUUAAUUGACGUCCAAUAUUUAUCAAGUAACGCCCGUAUUUUAAAUUAAACAUACUAAUAUACCCCCUCUUAAAUAACCCAUCAAAACUUUCUCUUCCUCCUUUUCAAUCACCCUUCUCUUUCACCCACCCUUCUCUUUCACCCAAAUUCAACCCCCAAAAUAACCACCACCACCACCGCUUACCACCACAUUCAACCACCAAGUAUUUUGUUUUUAAUCUUGGUGGCGACGCUACAAGGGAGGCGCAGAUGUCGGGAAAUCGCAAAGACAAGACAGUCGUCAUCGGCGAGCAGGAUGCUGGACAGAUAAUUCUGAGUGGCGAAAUCUAUAUGACCUUGAGGAGCCCCCAAGCACUGAUGUUAGCCCUCUGAGAUUAUGUUUUUGGAUGAGAAAAAUGUGUUAGCUUUUUAGCAGGCUUAGGAUGUAUAACUCUCUAAUAGUAUGCUGCUUACAAUGUGUGAUAUAAACAAUAGAUUUUGCUUGAUGCUUCUGCUUCAGAUUAGGGACGGUCACCGGUGGAACGGGUAGCUUAAGGACUGGUGCGCUCUCAUACAAGUGAUAUAUCAAGUCCUUCAUGCUUGAACCUCCAUUCCUGUCCACUUUGACAGCUUGUUUGAUUUUAUGUUAAGCUUAUUGCAAUCUUGGAAUUCCAUCUGGUGCCUUGUUAUCACCAUUUUUUCUUUAUUGUAUUGUUGGCAGAUAUCUCUGACAGUAUGUAUGAAUGUAUGAUAGUACAGUGGGGUCAUGCUAUAUUCAUUAGUUACAAGUAUAUAGGAAUAUAGAUUAUGAAUCCAACCUUUUGGAUUAUAAGAACUUUUGAUGAGACCUUUUGUUCUCUUAAGAUCAUGUCUUAUGUAGGAAAUUGUCGUGUUUGUGUGAAUAAAAUAUUUUGUGCAUGUAACAUCCUACAUCCUUGAUUUUGUUA